AUGCGAACGGCGUAUUUUACGGCAUUAUCACCGUGGAGAUGUCAGCUGUGCUCUCCUUUCUUUGGACGAGCAAAACUAUGGAGGAAAGAAUCCCUGUCUUGACCUGAGCAGAGGGAGCACUUGCAGAACUGGUAGCUGUUUCCUGUUGAUUGUGCUUCUCAGGAUCAGUUCCUAUACAUCUUCAACUGUGCUCUGUCCUUAUCUUGAACUGAAGAUUAUGCCUAUAAGUGCUGAGGAAAGCCAGGGAUGAAAAAUUGGCUUCAGAGUUCUCCAUAAAGAUGCUCACCUAAUCUAAUAAAACAGACUGAAUGUGUGAAAAGGAACUGAAAAAGUGCUGUUCAAAUGCCGGACAAUACCAAGGAAAUUAUCCUGCAAAUUGUUUUGCAGCGAUGAUUAGGAAGGAAAACCACCUGCAACUGUGUACCUACAUAGAUGGACACGGGGAGGUGAAAAGCUAUCAUUGUGUCAGUGGAGAAGGAAAACAGUUUAAUUUUUCUUUCAAGCUUACUCCUAAUGAUGUUGUGGCUUCCUGACACUGACGGUUGAGACCAAAAGUCCUACUGCCAUCUCAGUAAAGAAUGGUACAAUUCACUCUGGGGAUUUGUUACUAUGCCCCAGAUUGUGAUGGAAGUUCUCUUUCUUACUGGAACAUCAAAUAGCUCAUGAGUUGGAAUGCUUCUCUCCCCUGUUGGAGCUAGGUCUUAGGGCUCUGGUUUACAUGGUUCAGAGCCAAUGCUAGAUUUUUUUCUUCUUUCUCCUCCUUCUUGCAAAUCUGUUUACAAGAUCAUACAGUGUGAGUUUCUCAUCUGCCUGUCCAAUGAAAAAUACCCACAAAGCAACUAUGUUACUGGCCCAGAGAGAAGUUAAAAUGAUUGAGGUGCUAGGCUUGUCAGUUAGGACAUGGACCUAGGACACAAGACUAACCUAGUCUGAAUGCUGUUUUAAUAAAAUCAUCUUUUCUAUCUGUGUCAAAAUAGAAUUACUUUCAUUAUCUUCCUGACUCAGUGAGAUUCUUGUAGCUCUCCACAUGAUGACUGUGAUGAUACUACAAAAUUUGGAGAUCUGUUGGCUGAUGUCAUUGAAGCAUGUUUCUUGGCUCUAAAUCAGUGAACAGUAAGCUGUGAUUUCUGAACUGUCAUUUAAGUGAUGUGCCUGGUUAAUAUUCCAGUGUUAUGCAUAGCUUUAUAGACAUUGUGUAGUUAUCAUUUCAGAUAUCUCUUGGUAGAGGGGAUGUUGCUGAGGUACCCAGCCGUAAGUGUGAAAGGUGUUUAUGACAAGGUUUGAAUUCUGGGAUGCAACUUGUUCAAUAUGUCAUUGAACUCUUGGUCCAGCUGAAACUGCCUUUUGCCCUGAGGUUCACUUUUCCUGCCCUUCAGCUGUGUAUGUAGUGUCAGUGUACACCUUUGUAAAGUAGUUAAUGCUUUGUUACUAUGAUUACCUGCAUUAAAACAAUGGAAGGAGAGACCAAAACCAGCAUAUGAUUUUGCUGUCACAUUCAAGUGUGAAUGGAAAUGAUUUGUUCUGUGGUGUAUGUUUAUCCUUAUAUGCAAGACCUGUUCCUGCAUUGUCAGGUUUAUUUUACAGCAAACUUUUCACAGGUUCAGUCUGAUGCCCUGAAACACGGCAGAAUUGAUCUUGGUGGGACAUAAUUAUUGCUUGUACACCACACUUUAUAGACAAAUUAUUACAAUGUAAAUAAUGCACUGCAACUUAGAACAGGUAAUAAAUAGUCAUUAACAUGUAAUAAUAACUCAGAUAUGUGGAAA